rnacentral:rRNA from 1 species
UGGGGAAUUUUGGACAAUGGGGGAGACCCUGAUCCAGCCAUCCCGCGUGUGCGAUGAAGGCCUUCGGGUUGUAAAGCACUUUUGGCAGGAAAGAAACGUCAUGGGUUAAUACCCCGUGAAACUGACGGUACCUGCAGAAUAAGCACCGGCUAACUACGUGCCAGCAGCCGCGGUAAUACGUAGGGUGCAAGCGUUAAUCGGAAUUACUGGGCGUAAAGCGUGCGCAGGCGGUUCGGAAAGAAAGAUGUGAAAUCCCAGAGCUCAACUUUGGAACUGCAUUUUUAACUACCGGGCUAGAGUGUGUCAGAGGGAGGUGGAAUUCCGCGUGUAGCAGUGAAAUGCGUAGAUAUGCGGAGGAACACCGAUGGCGAAGGCAGCCUCCUGGGAUAACACUGACGCUCAUGCACGAAAGCGUGGGGAGCAAACAGG